AUUGAACGCUGGCGGCAUGCCUAACACAUGCAAGUCGAACGAGUGGCGGACGGGUGAGUAAUGUCUGGGAAACUGCCCGAUGGAGGGGGAUAACUACUGGAAACGGUAGUUAAUACCGCAUACCAUCGGAUGUGCCCAGAUGGGAUUAGCUAGUAGGGGGGGUAAAGGCUCACCGAGGCGAAGAUCCCUAGCUGGUCUGAGAGGAUGACCAGCCACGCGGGAACUGAGACACGGUCCGGACUCCGACGGGAGGCAGCAGUGGGGAAUAUUGCGCAAUGGGCGCAAGCCUGAUACAGCCAUGACGCGUGUAUGAAGAAGGCCUUGGGGUUGUAAAGUACUUUCAGCGGGGAGGCGUUACCCGCAGAAGAAGCACCGGCUAACUCCGUGCCAGCAGCCGCGGUAAUUC
rnacentral:rRNA from 1 species